AUUGAACGCUGGCGGCAGGCCUAACACAUGCAAGUCGAACGAGUGGCGGACGGGUGAGUAAUGUCUGGGAAACUGCCUGAUGGAGGGGGAUAACUACUGGAAACGGUAGCUAAUACCGCAUACCAUCGGAUGUGCCCAGAUGGGAUUAGUUAGUAGGUGGGGUAAAGGCUCACCUAGGCGACGAUCCCUAGCUGGUCUGAGAGGAGGACCAGCCACACUGGAAAUGAGACACGUUCCAGACCCGUACGGGAGGGAGCAGUGGGGAAUAUUGGCCAAUGGGAGCAAGCCUGAUGCAGCCAGGACGCGUGUAGGAAGAAGGCCUUCGGGUUGUAAAGUACUUUCAGCGGUGAGGCGUUACCCGCAGAAGAAGCACCGGCUAACUCCGUGCCAGCCGCCGCGGUAAUAC
rnacentral:rRNA from 1 species